GCCCGGUUAGCUCAAUCGGUAGAGCGUGAGACUCUUAAUCUCAAGGUUGCGGGUAAGUUCAUACAUCCAGAACAACGUCUCCGAGAUUCGAACUAACAUCCAUGGCUAGGUUCGACCCCCGCAUCGGGCU